GGCCUGAGAGGGCGACCGGCCACACUGGGACUGAGACACGGCCCAGACUCCUACGGGAGGCAGCAGUGGGGAAUAUUGCACAAUGGGCGAAAGCCUGAUGCAGCGACGCCGCGUGAGGGAUGACGGCCUUCGGGUUGUAAACCUCUUUCAGCAGGGAAGAAGCGAAAGUGACGGUACCUGCAGAAGAAGCGCCGGCUAACUACGUGCCAGCAGCCGCGGUAAUACGUAGGGCGCAAGCGUUGUCCGGAAUUAUUGGGCGUAAAGAGCUCGUAGGCGGCUUGUCACGUCGGAUGUGAAAGCCCGGGGCUUAACCCCGGGUCUGCAUUCGAUACGGGCAGGCUAGAGUGUGGUAGGGGAGAUCGGAAUUCCUGGUGUAGCGGUGAAAUGCGCAGAUAUCAGGAGGAACACCGGUGGCGAAGGCGGAUCUCUGGGCCAUUACUGACGCUGAGGAGCGAAAGCGUGGGGAGCGAACAGGAUUAGAUACCCUGGUAGUCCACGCCGUAAACGUUGGGAACUAGGUGUUGGCGACAUUCCACGUCGUCGGUGCCGCAGCUAACGCAUUAAGUUCCCCGCCU
rnacentral:rRNA from 1 species